rnacentral:rRNA from 1 species
GCUAAUACCGCAUAUUCUCUGAGGAGGAAAGUAGGGGAUCGAAAGACCUUAUGCUUUAAGAGCGGCCGAUGUCUGAUUAGCUAGUUGGUAAGGUAAUGGCUUACCAAGGCAACGAUCAGUAGUUGGUCUGAGAGGACGACCAGCCACACUGGGACUGAGACACGGCCCAGACUCCUACGGGAGGCAGCAGUGGGGAAUUUUGGACAAUGGGCGAAAGCCUGAUCCAGCAAUGCCGCGUGAGUGAAGAAGGCCUUCGGGUUGUAAAGCUCUUUCAGUCGAGAAGAAAAGAUUGUGACUAAUAAUCGUAAUUGAUGACGGUAUCGACAGAAGAAGCACCGGCUAACUACGUGCCAGCAGCCGCGGUAAUACGUAGGGUGCGAGCGUUAAUCGGAAUUACUGGGCGUAAAGGGUGCGCAGGCGGUUUUGUAAGUCAGAUGUGAAAUCCCCGGGCUUAACCUGGGAAUUGCGUUUGAAACUA